AAUGAACGUUGGCGGCGUGGAUUAGGCAUGCAAGUCGAACGAGAACGGGAUAUAGCUUGCUAUAUUUGUCAGCUAAGUGGCGCACGGGUGAGUAAUGUAUAGAUAACCUGCCCUCUAGAAAGGAAUAACAGUUGGAAACGACUGCUAAUGCCCUAUAUGCCUUUAAUACAUAAGUAUGCAAGGGAAACGCUUUAGUGCUAGAGGAUGGGUCUGUAUGGUAUCAGCUUGUUGGUGAGGUAAUGGCUCACCAAGGCUAUGACGCCUAACUGGUUUGAGAGGAUGAUCAGUCACACUGGAACUGAGACACGGUCCAGACUCCUACGGGAGGCAGCAGUGGGGAAUAUUGCACAAUGGACGAAAGUCUGAUGCAGCAACGCCGCGUGGAGGAUGACACAUUUCGGUGCGUAAACUCCUUUUAUAUAGGAAGAUAAUGACGGUACUAUAUGAAUAAGCACCGGCUAACUCCGUGCCAGCAGCCGCCGUAACAC
rnacentral:rRNA from 1 species